rnacentral:lncRNA from 1 species
UGUACAAGUUGGCUGAGAAUAUUAAAUCCAAGGGUGGCAACAUUACUCGUGAACCUGGUCCUGUCAAGGGAGGAUCCACUGUUAUUGCCUUUGCACAAGACCCUGAUGGUUACCGUUUUGCGCUUAUUCAGAGGGCUGAGACACCUGAGCCUCUUUGCCAAGUCAUGCUUCGUGUUGGUGACCUUGAGCGAUCUAUCAAGUUCUAUGAGAAGGUACUUCCUUUCCUGUUGUAAGGUAGGCUAUUCCAGAAGUUAGAAAUGCUAAAUAUUUUCUUCUUUAUGUCUCUUGCCCAUGCUCGUAUAUGGUGCAUUAUUUGUUGUCAUUCAGGCCCUUGGGAUGAAGCUCCUAGAAAAGAAGGAUGUUCCCGAUUAUAAGGUAUCUUCAACUAUUAGGGGCUGAAAGAAUGGUGCUAGAUCUAUAGUGAUGAGUGAAAUGUCAUGCAAUGUUUUUCCUCAGAUGUGGUAUUCAUUCAAUUUUAGACUGAAUAUAUUUGGCCUUGUACAGUAUACCAUUGCAAAGUUGGGCUAUGCUGAUGAGGACAAGACAACUGUUCUGGAACUGAUAUACAACUAUGGUGUCACAGAAUAUAGCAAGGGCAAUGCAUAUGCUCAGGUACGUUUGAAAUCUUUUAUCCACAGUAUUUAUCUAAUAAGGUCUUGCCAUUUCUAUGAUCCUCCUUAUAUAAGGGCAGGUUGCUAUUGGCACCAAUGAUGUGUACAAGAGUGCCGAGGCUGUUGAUCUUGCGACCAAAGAACUGGGGGGCAAGAUUUUGCGGCAGCCAGGGCCGCUACCUGUGAUCAACACAAAGAUCACCUCUUUUGUUGACCCAGAUGGCUGGAAAGUGGUAUGCCUUCCAUCAACUAUCAUAUCUAUGCUAUACUGUUAACCAUCGAAAGACCUACUGCUUUCUUCAAAUCUUUAUCGACAAUAAGUUUUUGGCAGAAACUAGGCACACCUUGUAGUUUCAAAGCUUAAAUUUGAUGCAUAUGUGAAUCCAAGCUGUUACUUGUGAAACAGUAUCCUACCUUGGGAGACUAAUAAAGAAAAAAACUUUGGCAAAAUGUGGCAGAAACGGUAGGACCUUAAUGUGAAAUUGAUGCCUUACCUAUCCCAUGAAUGUAGUAAUUAUCUCAUCAAAAUUUACAUGCAAUCUGAUUAUUUUUUAUGGUGCUCCUCUUACCACUUGAGAGGUAAGAGAUAAUUUUAAUCUGAAUGACUGAGUAAGGGCAGUUUUGACCAAAUGAAACGCCACUAGUAAGGAAACCAACAUUCAAAUCUGUCUAUAGAAAGCAGCAAUAAACAAUUGUUUUAAGGAAUGUUUAAUGUUCAAGCGUUUCAUGAUCAUAUUACUGCUAUUCAGAUCAUUGGAUCUGGAUCACGCACAAAUUGGUUCAAAUAUUGAGACCUACCUUCUUUUUUAUUUUUUUAAUGAAUGAGCAACUUGUUCCGUAUUAGUUUCUGAAUCUUAUUUUUGAAAGAAAGUAGUAGACCAGAAAACGUGACAUUUUAUCCUUGACAUUAUAGGUUCUGGUUGACCACGCCGACUUCCUCAAGGAACUCCAGUGAAGACUGGACGCCCAGGUGGCAUGCUAGGAUGUAGUAGUGCUUGUCCAUGAUGUAAUAAACGGCUGUUGGUGGUUCAGUUUGUCCCUGCCCCGAUGAACCGAAAAUAAAAUUGCUGCAGAGCUGUGCUUUUGCUAGUGAUCUUCCUUUGGGAUUGGCUGUGUGGUUAUGCUGUUAGUAGUAUGCAAUUGCUACCUGUAGCAACCUGUCUAUUAGAAUGGGUCAGUUCGCCUGGUUGAAUGGUGUUUGGUUCACUGUGAUCUGUUCUGGUUUCGUGCUUGUGUGUUUUGUGGUGAAUUUGCUUUGAUGGGCGUUACGAUACGCUUUUGCUGAUCCCACCCUUGUUCAUACAUACUCUCUCUAGCAAAAAAAGAAGUCAUUCUAAUUUUGAUUUAAGUCAAAUCAUCUUUAAUUUGAAUAAAAUUUAUAAAGAAAGCAUCAAUGUUUAUUACACCAAAUAGAUUAUCUACGAAGUGUAUUAACACCAAAUAGAUUAUCUACGAAGUGUAUUUUGUCUGCUCACUUCGCCACCGUGUUUUGGUGGGGUUAAUUGUACGGUUGCUUGAGACUCUACAAGCUGGCUAAUUUGAUGUCUUUGAUAUUUUUUGUCUGCACAGAUCUAUAUUGCAAACCGCAAACCUGAGACAUACAUUAUAUUUUCAUAAAUACGAGACAUACAUUACAUAGCCAAAAUGACCUACAAUUUAGAACGGAGAGAGUACAAAACAGUGCUUAAAUAUUUAUGGAAAUGUAAUUUUUUUGGGUGAUAAUUUAUUUUGUUACAAUAACUACUCCAUUUAUUCUGGAAGAAAGAAACACUAUUCAUCAUUAAGUAAGUACUCCCUCCGUUCCAAAUUAUAAGUCAUUCCAAUUUUCUUAGAGAGUCAAAGCAUAUCAAGUUUGAUCAAAUUUAUACAAUAAAAUGCUAACAUUCAUGAUAUCAAAUAGGUACCAUUAGUUUCUUCAUUAAAUAUAUUUUCAUAGUAUAUCUAUUCGGUGUCACAAACUUGUGUGAUUUUCCCUAUAAUUUUGGUCAAACAUAAAAUGGUUUGACUCUUCAAGAAAGUUGGAAGGACUUAUAAUUUGGAACGGAGGGAGUAAAGGGAAAAGAAUCAUCCAUUCACGUUCCUUAGGAAAAGCACCUGACCUUUCUAAUAUUAAAAUUAUUCUCCCGCAAUUUUAAAAGUGAGUCGCAGUCUCGCAGAGAAAAAAAGAAACAUUAAAAAGCCUGGAGAAGCUUCUCGCACGCUGCACACUCUGCACUCCUCAUGUGGACUGGAGCCUGUAUAUAGGUGCGGCGCCUUCAGUCUCCACUCAUCUCCUCGCAAAGUGGAAGAAGCCAAGACAAUUGGUUAGGUUGAGAGCUCGCUGCUGCGCCUGUGCGUGCUCCUUGGUCGAAUCGACUCGGGACCGGUCUGAAUCCAAUCCAAGGUGAGCAUCCAUCUCAAACCCAUCAUCUCCUCUCCUCUGACCCCUCGCGCUGCUCAUGAUUCCACGGUUCUGGAGUUCGGAUCAGGNNNNNNNNNNNNNNNNNNNNNNNNNNNNNNNNNNNNNNNNNNNNNNNNNNNNNNNNNNNNNNNNNNNNNNNNNNNNNNNNNNNNNNNNNNNNNNNNNNNNUCUUUUUCCUUUUAAUCCCCUUUUGGGUUCACUAAUUCCCGCGGUUCUGGGUUGGCCGCGGGCGCUCUCAGUUUUUUUGGCUUUUUAUCUCACAGGAUUCGCUUUCACUCACUUUGGCGUUCACACGACAACACACAUACACCCCCCCCCCCCCCCCCCCCCCCCCCCCCCCCCCCCCCGCCCACCACCACCACCACACACACACACACACACGAAAAAGGCAAAGUGGGAGUUCGAUUUGAGUGCUCCCUUCUCCCAAAUGCUGAAACAGCGAAGGGAACUCGAGGUUUAGUGACCCUGUAUAUAUAGGUUCGCCGUGACCCGCGACAACAAAUUGCAGGGAUUUAGGUUCGGUUCUUUUCUUGCUUGGGCUUUUGGGGGUUACAUAUGUUUCCAUCGUCUAGAUUGACUAAUGGUGUGUUAGUUGCAUCACCAAAGAUGUACAAGGGGGAGCCCUGGAUCUGAUUUGGGCAUUUGGUUGACCAGUGACUUUUGUUAGUAAUAACUUUCUGAGAGACAAAAUAUUUGAUUUGGUUUGGGAUUGCGAUUGAAAGACAUGAAAACAAAAGGAGAUGUAUCACCUUAAGUUCUGUCAUAUUAGCACUGUUGUUUUUUAUGAGACAUUGAGAGUUGCAGGCUUGCAGCAGAGAUUAGUAUUUCUGAUAAAUAUACUCCUAUGUUUUGAAAAGAGAAAGCACUGAUUAAUUGGAUGUUCCUGUACUGAUAAUCUUCUGAACCACACUACGAUUUUCUGCCAGAAUUCUGAAGAAAUGCCACCACUGUCAUAAUCUGGAGCCUGAACUCCUCGUGCUUGGUUCUUUGUUUUGCUCAAUAUACCUUUUUCCCUCUUGUUCUUAUCAAAGGUGUGACUUCCUGUACCAGGGAUGGCAACUGGGAGCGAAGCCGUGAAGCCAGCUGAGGCUGUGCUUGAGUGGAACAAACAGGACAACAAGAGGAUGCUUCAUGCUGUUUACCGUGUCGGGGAUCUGGACCGCACGAUCAAGUAUGUUGCUGUAUUUUAAGCAACAUUUUCGACAUCUAGAGCUAGUAUCAUGCUUCUGAUGCUGUCUUGUGAUUCUGGUAGGUACUACACGGAAUGCUUUGGGAUGAAGCUGCUGAGGAAAAGAGAUGUGCCUGAUGAGAAGUACACUAACGCCUUCCUUGGGUUUGGACCAGAGGAAACCAACUUUGCGCUUGAAUUGACUUACAGUAUGUUCAUCGACCUGCCCAAUUGUUUUUUGUGGCACAGUUGUUUCAAUAUUAUACUUCAUAUUUGGAUAAUAUGUGUGUCAACCUGGUAAGAAACUUAGCAAUGUAUAUGCUUCUCUCUUCAUAUGAACUGAUCAACUCAUUUCCUUGGAAAGCAUUUUCAUUUUCUCCGACAUCCUAUGGUGCUAACAAGUUCACUGUUGUUCAACAGACUAUGGCGUCGACAAGUAUGACAUUGGAGAGGGCUUUGGGCAUUUUGCUAUCGCUAAUGAGGAUGUAAGUAUUGUUAUUUGCAAUGCCUACUGUCAGUGUUGCAGCAAUUAUGCUUAUAUGAUAUCAUGCAUGCAAUGCAGGUGUACAAGUUGGCUGAGAAUAUUAAGUCCAAGGGUGGCAAGAUUACUCGUGAACCUGGUCCUGUCAAGGGCGGAUCCACUGUUAUUGCCUUUGCACAAGACCCUGAUGGUUAUCUGUUUGAGCUUAUUCAGAGGGCUGAGACACCUGAGCCUCUUUGCCAAGUCAUGCUUCGUGUUGGUGACCUUGAGCGUUCUAUCAAGUUCUAUGAGAAGGUAUUUUCUUUCCUUAUGUAAGGGUAGGCUGUUCCAGAGGUCCCAUGCUCAUACAUGAUGUAUUGUUUGUUGUCAUGCAGGC